UACGAAGGGGGCUAGCGUUGCUCGGAAUCACUGGGCGUAAAGGGCGCGUAGGCGGUUCGACAAGUUGGAUGUGAAAGCCCAGGGCUCAACCCUGGAAUUGCAUUCAAGACUGUCUUACUUGAAUUCGGUAGAGGUGAGUGGAAUUCCCAGUGUAGAGGUGAAAUUCGUAGAGAUUGGGAAGAACACCGGUGGCGAAGGCGGCUCACUGGACCGACAUUGACGCUGAGGCGCGAAAGCGUGGGGAUCAAACAGG
rnacentral:rRNA from 1 species